UCAGUCAGUCAGGUAGCUGCUUCUCCUGUCAUCAGUGUGAAAUUACCAGCGUGGCCUCAUUAUCUGCUUACUUCAAAUUUGGAGGCAAUAUUUCUGUUUGAAGGAUAAUAAUCUCCAUUUAAAACAAAAAUAACAUCUCAGAGACGCACAUGCAAAGUCCUUUGCUGACCUGGCAGAGACAGCGCCUGCCUUUCCUGAAAACUAUUGAAUGUUUUUUCCACUGGGGAGCUAGAUCUCAGGAGGGAGGCUCCGCGUGACUUUAAAAUAUGCGUCUCUUCCAUUCCCAUCAUCUUCAUCUUAUGGGAGCCACACCAGAGGCCCGGGCUGCUGGGACAAAACAGUAAUCAGGGCCCAGCCUUGCCUUCCCCGCUGUGGCAUUCUUAAGUUCCAGAACACAGGAACCGACAAGAAACUGGGAAUAAAGGGGUUUGAUCUGCACACUGCAAACACCUCUUGCAAAAAGAAGAAUGAAAAAAAAAAUGCCAGCUCCUUCUAUGGGGGAAGAGAAGGCGUCAAGACAUGUUAAAUGAUCCGGUUCCCCUCCGAGGCGGCGCUACUGCGGACUCUGCAGCGUAGCCCGGCUGUUCUGCUGACGCUGAGGACCCGCAGCUCAGGAGGAGGCAGACGGGCUGAGAGCAAACGCUCUGAUGAGAAAACUGAAGUCUAGGAUGGGAGUGUGGCCCCACUGCCUCAGGUGUUGUUGGAGACUGAGCCUUCUGCCGUCAGCUGCCUCCUCCCAGCUCCCAUCUGCAGAGGCCUGGUGAGCAGUGCUCUGUCUGAUCGCCUGAGCAGAGCAGCUUUUGAGUCUGACAAGGGGCCCAAUGGUGACAACCCUGCAAUCGCCAGGAGACUCCAGGACAAAAGAUGGUCAGUUUAUGCCUGUUCCUAUCUUCCCCUGGAUGCUCCAGCCCUUGCUCCUGGAAGGAGUCGAUCUUGAUGUUUCUCCCCUCCCCGCGAUGCCUUUGGAUAGAUCUUCUCCAGAGGUGCUCGGCUCUGAGACAGAGCCCUGUGGGUGUUUACGUUCCCUCAAUGGAGUGUCAGGCACGCCUACCAUGUGUGCAGGCUGUGCGUGUGGGAAAGAUGGCUGCUCAGCAGCACAGCGCUUGCAGGAGACAAAUGGGCCCUAGUUUUAUCCAUAGGAGAAGAAUGCUAGAUACCAAUAUGUAUUUCCCCCAUUUCGUGAAUGGGGAGACUGAGGCUCAAGGUCCUAUAACUGUCCAAAGGAUGCAGAACAACAUCAUUUGGAGAUACAGGAAAAUUUCAGUUUGGAAAAUAGCUGGUUGUCCACAAAACCACAGCUGUCUUUUGGAAAGUUUCAUUACAGGCCAUGAUUAAGUCUUUGUUUCUUCAGUGCUGUCUCCCCAAGAGCAGAGCAUUGAGCUAGAGUUUGCAGGUACAACGGGGGAGUUAAAAAGCUGGAGGUGGGAUGUGAGUCGGCAACUCCCUGCGAGUCCUAUUCUAGGAAGUUUCCUGAACAGUCCUACUGUGCACUGUAAGUGGAAGGGUGUCACCAUCCGGCCUCUGGCCGUAGGCUUCUGGCAGACCCUAAACAUAGAGGUUCCUUGAGAUCAUCUAGACUCUUUCUUCUGAGUCCUCCUUCCAGAUGAUGGAAGAGACUGGCCAGGGUCAUCCCCAUUCAAUGAGAUUACACAGGCAAGGCUGAAGCCUCCCUGGCUCUUCUUGCUUCCUCAUCAGGCUUGACACAGGACUCCGGAUGAAUUUAAGUUCCCAUUGUUAUACUGGUUCAACAAACACAGAGAGGACAAUUAUCAUCUGCCAGUUCUGGUGCUUUCCAGACAUUAGCUCAUUUCAUCUGGUGGGAACAAAUCUUCAAAGAAGGUACUGCUAUGCUCCCCAUUUCACAGAUGUAGUAACUGAGGCACAGAGAGUUAAGUCCUUAGUCAAGGUCAUACAUAGCUGGUGAACCACAAGUAGCUGUCCCGGGGUCUCCAUCCUACCCACUAUGCUGUGCGUGCAGCCUAUCAUGAACAGAAAAAAUCUCCUACCAUUUGAUUUUGCUUUCAUUUUCUCCUGACUUCAUCAAGGAGAAAGUCUCAACUUGCCGUUACUUUGUCUUUAAAACCUCCCCAAGGCUUAUUAAUAUUUUUUAACAAAGGGAGAACAGGAUUCAGACUCAGUACUUUCCUGACAAUGGUGUUUAUCGGAAGUGUCUUCAAGGUGAUUAUGCCUGUGACUAAAUCUGCAGACGGCUACCCUUUGUAGAAGCAGAUUCCUAGGGAUCCAGAACUUGCUCAAGGCACCCAAAGAGUCAGGUCACUCAACUCAUCAAAAGAAAAAAAAAAUUGGUCUUUUGACCACCUGCCAUCUUUAGCUUUUUCAAUUCAAUUCAGCUCAAAACCGAUUCUACGAACAGCUUUAGAAUGGUUGGCGAGAGACAUCAUGGUACGUGGACAUGGGGGAGAAUCAUGAACUUUCUAUAAGCGCCUUGUAUCAUGAUUGUAUGAUCUUUAUGGGGGGUGACCCCUUUAGCCAUUCUUUUUUUCCCUUAGACACUUUAUCCUGAAAGGGUUACAAUCCCAAGAAAAGCAUUUUCGUAAGCACAAAGAACUAAUAUUAGCAGAUUGGGGUUUCUGUAAAUAUUCAUUGUAAUCUGUGACUUGGUGAGCAUCGAAUUCCACCCUCCCGAAAGCUGCACAUUUAUAACUUGUGAAUUCAUAAAUAUUUACGAAUUCACACAAUCAUCACUGACAAAUUAUUUCAUCUGACAGCUCCACACAAGCCCUGCCUGGUUUCGUGAAAUUCUGAUCAAAUCUCGCGUAAACUUCCUGGGUGACAAGCAGAGACCAGCACAGCUAAAAUCACAACCAGAUCCUACAGAUUCGAAUGGGUCACUAACUGAUAUUUACAACAACAACAACCUGAGAGAGAGAGAUUUUGUUGUAUGAUGGGCUGCCAGAUGUUCUCAACAACUGUACAUAUAUUUAUAGCAAUGCAUCUUUGAAGGUGUCAAAAGCUGGGGGCCUUGUCAGGAGGAGGGACGUGAGCAAGCAUCAUGGAAAGAAAGGAGGUUGGGAGCCGGGAGGCUGUGUUUGCACCCCGAGUCCACUGUUGGGGGCCUGUGUGAUCUUUAACCGGUUCCCAACCUUGCUGAACUCCGUUUAUGAGCUUUGAAUUCAGGAUAAUAAAAACAGCAACGCAAGAAGGCUGUUGUAAUAAUUAUAGAUGCUGUCAGUAGAGCCCUGGUUCAGGGCCUGCCACAAAGCAGGGGCUUCAAUAAAUCUUGG